UACGGAGGGUGCAAGCGUUAAUCGGAAUUACUGGGCGUAAAGCGCACGCAGGUGGCUGAGUCAGUCGAUUGUGAAAGCCCUGGGCUUAACCUGGGAAUUGCAGUCGAUACUACUCGGCUCGAGUAUGGGAGAGGGCAGUGGAAUUCCCGGUGUAGCGGUGGAAAUGCGUAGAUAUCGGGAGGAACAUCAGUGGCGAAGGCGGCUGCCUGGCCCAAUACUGACACUCAGGUGCGACAGCGUGGGGAGCAAACAGG
rnacentral:rRNA from 1 species